UACAGAGGUCUCAAGCGUUGUUCGGAUUCAUUGGGCGUAAAGGGCGCGUAGGCGGCGGGGUAAGUCGGGUGUGAAAUCUCAGAGCUCAACUCUGAAAUGGCACUUGAUACUGCUCUGCUAGAGGACUGGAGAGGAGAUUGGAAUUCACGGUGUAGCAGUGAAAUGCGUAGAUAUCGUGAGGAAGACCGGUGGCGAAGGCGGCCCCCUGGUUGGAUACUGACGCUGAGACGCGAAAGCGUGGGGAGCAAACAGG
rnacentral:rRNA from 1 species